UGAGCCCACAAACACAAACCCCUCCUCUUCGACUCUCUCUCUUCCCUUCCCAUGGAGGCGCCGCACCACGCACCCGCCGCCGGCGAAACCCCACCUGCGCCGGCCGCAGAGAGCAGCAGCAGCUCCGAGGAGUCGCGGUGGCUCGCGAGCCUCUCCGAGCCCGAGCUCGAUUUCCUCAUCAGCUUGAAGAUGCUGGCUGUGAAGCGGGCCGAGACCGCCGGCCGCCCUCACCUCGCCGACGCGUUCGAUCUGCGCACGCUGCGGGCGAUCGGUGUUGCUUUGCUGGAGAGUCUCAAAGAACGCCUAAAAGAAACCGCGGUUGAUCCAACCAUUCUUGAUAGACUUGCACUCUCAAGGGAUCCUGAUGCGGAUGCGGAUGCUAAUGCCAGCGUCAGCAGUAGCGAUUCCGAGGUGUUCAGGCGGCACAGCAAAGAUCAGCCAGAGCCAAGUAGCGUCAAGAGUAAACGGAAGAGGAUGCAGGAUGGGUUCCAAAGCAAAAGGAGGAGAAAACUGAGCGAGAGCAGAUAGUGGCGAGCAUAGAUUGCUAUGACUUUUCUUGCUAAUACAAGUGAUCAAGUGCAAACACCCAGGGCUAUUGUUGAGCAAGAUCGCUGAUGAUGCUGCUACUGCUGCUGCUGGAGGUCAUCAUCCAGAAUGAAUAUAUGGAAGAGAAAAAUGAGCAAGAGGAGAUAGCGGUGAGCAGAUUUCGACAAUUUUCCUACUGCUAGUGAUCUAGUGCAGACACCCAGGGCUUUUGCUGAGGAAGAUAGCUGAGGCUGCUGCUGGUAGUGUAAAUUUUGCAACGCCUUUAGUUGUUGCAGUUGUCUUUCAAGCUUUUCUUGUUCAUAGUAACAAUAAGUGAAGAACUCAACUACAUAGAUGCCCCUUUAUUCAGUAUAAGUGUUUUUGAAUGGAUGUAACCAAAGGGGCAUUUUAUUGUUAACCUACAUCAUACCCAGUCCAUUUUAUAUUUUGGCUA